rnacentral:rRNA from 1 species
CUACGGGUGGCUCCAGUUAGGAAUAAUCUACAAUGCACGAAAGUGUGAUAGUUUGAGUCAAAGUGCGUUUCAAUUUGAAAUGCUUUUAUGGAAUGUAAAAAGUUCCACGAAUAAGGACUGGGUAAGACAGGUGCCAGCCGCCGCGGUAAUACCUGCGGUCCAAGUCGCAGCCAUUUUUAUUGGGUCUAAAACAUCCGUAGCUUGCUUGGUAAGUUUCUUGUGAAAUUCUAUAUCUUAAAUAUAGAGCGUGCAGGAAGUACUGCCAAGCUAGAGACUGGGAGACGUAAGAAGUACGUUUGAAGUAGCGGUAAAAUGUGUUAAUCUCAAGCGGACUCACAAUAGCGAAGGCAUCUUACGAGAACAGUUCUGACAGUAAGGGAUGAAGGCUAGGGGCGCAAAACGGAUUAGAUACCCCCGUAGUC